UUUUUUUGGUCUUUUUGCUUCAUGUUCUUAUCCCUUAUGCCCAGCUCGACCCCUGAUGUUCAGAUAAGCUUGCUGGAGCUUGGCAAAAGGGCUGAUAGGGAGUGAGUUGAAGCUGUGAUUGAGGAAGAAAAAGAAGGAAUUAGAGGAGUAUUUCGUAGCUCUUUUGCAGCAAAUAGCUGAAUGGAAGAUUACUAAGCUGAGGUAAAGAGGAGUUCUAGCAGCCAUAGAAGCUUGAAUUAUUAUGGUUUUCAAUCUUAAUUCAGAGGAGGAAUAGAUUUGGAACGUAGAAAGAGGUAACUUGUGAACUAGUUGCCUUAAGUUGAUAUCACUAUAAGCUUAUCAAUAAAGAUGUGCUGGAAUGUGCCGCAGCAGCUUGGAGGUCAGGUUGGGGGCUGAAUACCUGGCCUUCGUGGGCUAGGUCGAGCAUAUAUCAACCAGCCAACCAGAGUUACAAGGAAUUUAUACAAGCAAGAUUUGAGCCUCCAUUAUAUGAUAAUCUAGUAGUAAUUGAAGCAGUUUGGAAUUGUUUCUUCGCAGUAGGUUUGCGAACCACGUUGAGCUAAUUUCGUGACCUGGGGGACUAGUUUGGAAGGUGGUUAAACUAAGGCAAGAUUGCAAUCGAGCUUGGGAUCGUCUUCGACUGACUUGUGAGGACUCUUGGAGGUUACAUUUGAGCAGGGCUGAAGUCUAAUAGAGCUGAAUUUCGGGACGUCGUUGAACUGAUUUGAGCCUAAUAAUAGGUGGGUUUGACCUAACCAGAGCAAGUGAAGCUCCCCUAUGUUCUAUAUGUUACUAUAGAAUUGAUAUAGUCGUGCGUUAGCGUCAUUAUAUGGUUGCCAAAGGAUUUGGGAUAUUUUUGCUAUUAACGUUUGACAUAAUGGAACUAGAACCUCAAUGAAGUAGCGGGAAAUCAUGCAUAUUUGUAUUUAUGCUCAUGUUUAUGUUAGUUCAGUUGAGUAACUAAUGAACAUAUUAAUUAUGCUUUUGUAGAGUAGAUAACAAUGACAUUACUUGUGACUGUUUUGAUAGUACUUGAUAGUAGCAAGUUCUAAUGCCAUAUAUGAAUUAGCAUUACUUUCAUGCGCUUACUAAUCUAGUGGAUACUAGCUAUUGUCAUUGUUAUUCUAUGGAGAAUUUCGAUCAAUAGAUCGAGAGUAAGAAUAUAGCAUACUAUGCCAUGAUGUUUGAGAUAUGCUGGACUAUGGAUUUUGCUUGCUUGCCAUCGUGCUCAUUCGCACACGCUUGUGAGGGUCGCUCCCUACAAGCCGGCACUCCGGAGUUGGCCUACGCGACAGUUGCUCGCC